GACAGAGGCCUCAAGCGUUAGGCGGAAUCACUGGGCUUAAAGCGUGUGUAGGCGGGUCGUUAAGUACCUUGUGAAAUCCCACGGCUCACCCGUGGAACUGCUGGGUAUACUGGCGAUCUUGGGCCAACUAGGGGCAACCGGAACAAACGGUGGAGCGGUGAAAUGCGUAGAUAUCAGGAGGAACACCGAUGGCGAAGGCAGGUCUCUGGGCUGACACUGACGCUCAUGCACGAAAGCGUGGGGAGCAAACAGG
rnacentral:rRNA from 1 species